rnacentral:rRNA from 1 species
CAGCCGCGGUAAUACAUAGGGUGCAAGCGUUGUCCGGAUUUAUUGGGCGUAAAGAGUUCGUAUGUGGUUUUUCACGUCUGAUGUGAAAACUCGGGGCUCAACCCCGAACCUGCAUUCGAUACGGACAAACUCUAGGGCGGGAAGGGAGACUGGAAUUUCUGGUGUAGCGGUGGAAUGCACAUAUAUCAGAACGAACACCAAUGGCGAACGCAGGUCUCUGGGCCCUUACUGACACUGAGGAACGAAUGCGUGGGGAGCAAAAAGAAUUACAUACCCUGGUAAUCCACGCCAUAAACGGUGGACGCUAGGUGUG